UGAGGUUAUUUGAAUGGUAUUCUUUCAGGA
rnacentral:piRNA from 1 species